GCCUGGUUAUGUGGCGUGUGUGUGUGUGUGUGUGUGUGUGUGUGCGCGCGCACGUGUGCCUACACACAGCCACCC
rnacentral:pre_miRNA from 1 species